GACGAACGCUGGCGGCGUGCUUAACACAUGCAAGUCGAACGGAAAGGCCCUGCUUGCAGGGUACUCGAGUGGCGAACGGGUGAGUAACACGUGGGUGAUCUGCCCUGCACUUCGGGAUAAGCCUGGGAAACUGGGUCGAAUACCGGAUAGGAGCCAUUUUUAGUGUGAUGGUUGGAAAGUUUUUUCGGUGUAGGAUGAGCUCGCGGCCUAUCAGCUUGUUGGUGGGGUAAUGGCCUACCAAGGCGGCGACGGGUAGCCGGCCUGAGAGGGUGGACGGCCACAUUGGGACUGAGAUACGGCCCAGACUCCUACGGGAGGCAGCAGUGGGGAAUAUUGCACAAUGGGCGCAAGCCUGAUGCAGCGACGCCGCGUGGGGGAUGACGGCCUUCGGGUUGUAAACUCCUUUCGCUAGGGACGAAGCUUUUUGUGACGGUACCUAGAGAAGAAGCACCGGCUAACUACGUG
rnacentral:rRNA from 1 species